rnacentral:rRNA from 1 species
UACGUAGGGGGCUAGCGUUGCUCGGAAUCACUGGGCGUAAAGGGUGCGUAGGCGGGUCUUUAAGUCAGGGGUGAAAUCCUGGAGCUCAACUCCAGAACUGCCUUUGAUACUGAAGAUCUUGAGUUCGGGAGAGGUGAGUGGAACUGCGAGUGUAGAGGUGAAAUUCGUAGAUAUUCGCAAGAACACCAGUGGCGAAGGCGGCUCACUGGCCCGAUACUGACGCUGAUGCACGAAAGCGUGGGGAGCAAACAGG